GUUCACUUCAGCAGAAUGUUUGCUAAAAUUGGAAAGACAGAGAAGGUUGGCCUGGCCCCUGUGAAAGCAUGUCACGCAAAUUCAUGAAGCACUCCAUAUUUUU
rnacentral:snRNA from 1 species